UAUAGAAAAUUAAAUGGAUUGUCAGAUAAAUGUAUCGGAGGAAAUUACAAGUAGACCAUUUUAUACUCCCAAAGAUUGCUUGGUGGAAUUAGACAAGAACGAAAAUGUGAAUGAAAUAAAAUGGCGAAUACAAAAUACACUGUGGCUUACAGCGGUAGCAAUUCUAUUAUGGAUUUUUAGUUAUAUUUUUGCUGUAGCAGCAAUGGCGAUUUUGAGUUGUAGCCUGUCUUCUCUAUAACAACUAAUUAACUCUAUUGUGAUGUGUUCACAAGUACAAAUGUGUAAAGAUACUAGCGAAUAAAUUAUAAAGUGUUCUAUUUA